UUUGGCCAAAAACUUUUACUUUCUCCCUUGUCAUUAUCUUGUUUUGAUAGGUUGACUUACUUUUGUUUUGAAAUUACCUCUUGUGAAAAACCUAGGAGGAAUGAUAUGGGCUGUCUUCCUCCGCCCCUUCCUCCUCCUUCUCUCCCUACCAUGACUCUCAACUCAAAUCUUUCUUCCCCACCCCUCCCUACAAAACCUGUACCCUCACGUCAAGUAUGGAGAGUAGAUGGUGGUGGCCAAGAACCCACAGGAGGACAUUUCUUCUCCACAUGGAAUGAGUAAGGUGAAGAGGAAUAGAAAAAUGGAAUGAACCUUGGUAAGGGAAGAUGAAAGCCCAAGAUGGAGUAAUAGAAUGUGGAAAGGCCCAGAGCUGCUCUAAGUACAUGCAACGAGGCAUCCCCCACUCCCGGCUUUGCUUGGC